rnacentral:tRNA from 1 species
GGCUCCAUAGUUUAGUGGUUAGCAUGUCUGCUUUACACGCAGAAGGUCCUGGGUUCGCACCCCAGGUGGAGCCA